UCAUAGCUUGCUAUGAUAGAAAUUAGUGGCAGACGGGUGAGUAAUGCAUAGGAAUCUACCUAGUAGUAUGGGAUAGCCACUAGAAAUGGUGGGUAAUACUGUAUAAUCCCUGCGGGGGAAAGAUUUAUCGCUAUUAGAUGAGCCUAUGUUAGAUUAGCUAGUUGGUAGGGUAAAGGCCUACCAAGGCAGUGAUCUAUAGCUGGUCUGAGAGGAUGAUCAGCCACACUGGAACUGAGYUACGGUCCAGACUCCUACGGMAGGCAGCAGUGGGGAAUAUUGGACAAUGGGCGCAAGCCUGAUCCAGCUAUGCCGCGUGAGUGAGGAAGGCCUUAGGGUUGUAAAACUCUUUCAGUGGGGAAGAUAAUGACGGUACCUACAGAAGAAGUCCCGGCAAACUCCGUGCCAGCAGCCGCGGUAAUACGGAGGGGGCAAGCGUUGUUCGGAAUUAUUGGGCGUAAAGGGCAUGUAGGCGGUUCGGUAAGUUAAAGGUGAAAUGCCAG
rnacentral:rRNA from 1 species